ensembl:lncRNA
AAGCCAGGCCUCUUCACCUGGCCAGAUGGGCUUUUUGUGGAUGGGUUACUUUGGCCAUUGGCCGCUGCAGGCAUUGGCCGGUUAUCAUCCUCCAAGUGGCCAAGUGUGGUGUUGGCUUCAUUUCCCGACAGGGUCUUGGCUGUGUGAAGAAUUGUGAAGUGCCAGGGAAACCAAUGGUCGUGGCUUCCUGGGACCCGGGAAAGAGUUAGGGCUCCUGCCCCCAUCACCUCUCGGCACUUCCUCCUGGGCACGCGGGCUACUGUGCAGGCACGGUGGCUUCAGGCAUAUGCAACCCCCACUCCCAGGCAUUAGCUGCAAGCACCUCUUUGUUUUCAAAAAGCACAUUCCUAUUUCUCCAGUUUGGACAAAAUACACAGAAGAACCUGAUGUGACCUUCUAGGGCAACGGGCUUCAACCUUCACUGCAUAUUAGAACCGGCCGAGAAGACUGAAAAAUUCCGGAGCUCAGCCCCAUUUAGGCCAAUGAAAAGCGUCUCCAGGCCUCAGUGUCUGGACGGCUCCUCAAGUGAUUCCAGUGCCCACCAAGGUGGAGCCACGCUGACCCAGGCAGCGCCUCUCCCAGUCGCUUGUGCAUAAGAAUUGUCCACGGGAUGCAUUACAACACAGCUUCUGAAGCCCCAGCCCCAGAAUGUGGAGUCAGUGUUUCUAGGGCUGGGCCUGAGAGGAGGCGUUGUUAACGAGCCCCAGGUGAUGCUGCUGCUGCCUGUCCACGGACCACACACUGAGCAGCUCUGUUCCAGAGCUUUGCUACUCAGUGCGCAGUCCGUGGAGCAGGAGCCCGGGCAUCACCCAGGAACUCAUUAGAAAUUAAAAAUCUUGAGCUGUCUCAGACCUGUUACAUCAACAUCCGUGUUUUAAAAAGGGCUCUAGGAAAUCUAGUUGCACAGCAAGGAUCGAAAAGCGUUAACACGUAGGGUGCAGACGUGCAGCCCCUGGGCCAAAGUUAGCUGGCAGAUGUAUACCACCCUGGCUUGCACAGUAUUUUUUAAAAUUUGGAAUUAAUUUACACUUUAAAAUUGGGAUUUCUGACUUCUCUUGAAAAACUGGAAGAUCUAGCAAUACUGGGCGUCCGUUCUCACGUGGUGACAACUGGAGACAGAAUGGACGUGCUCCAAGCUGCUGCAGAAUGACUUCGUUCACUAAGGGUGUCUGCAGGGCCUCUGCUGGCCCUGACAUCUGCAGCUCCUGGUUCAUGCCCUCCCCUCCCCGGUCCCUCCCCAGCCGGAUGACUGCUCCCAAGCAUUUUUUCUUGAGCCCACCUACUUUAUCUCUCUGUACUUCCCUCUAUUCAUCUGUAAAAUGGGUCGAUAGCACCUAUUCAGGCUUCUGAUCUGGAUGAAAUGGAGAUGGAGGUCACGCUUUAAGGUCCAUACCUCUGUUUUACACACGAGUUGAUCCUAUACCCAGAGUUUCCCCAAGCAAGAUCCCUGGACCAGCAGCACUAACAUCAGUGGGGAACUUGUUAGAAAUACAAACUUUCAGGCCCCACUCUAGACCCAAACGCUUGAUGAAUUACCAGGCAUUUCAGGAGAGAGUGGAAUUCUGCGUGGAUUUCACCAGGAUCAAAAUCCCAUCAUGAGCUCCAUAAUUAUGUGGAGAAAGUUCAACCAAGAUCCAUGGGUGACUGAUGUUUUGCAGGUGACAGAGACCAAGGGAAAAGGCUAGUGUGUGUGGGAUGGAGCCUCCACAGCUUACUUCCUCCGGCUGCCCGACACCUCCCAGCUGCGGGCUCACCUCUGCGCCCAUCCUGAGCCAAUGAGCUGGGCUGAGACUUGGUGUCUGGAUAACCCACCCUGAGCCUGGGCGUUCACAGGCUCAUAAGACAGACUGCUGCUACUUUCACCACAUCAGCCCAAUCCACAUAAAGCGUCUUCUGCCUCAGUUUCCCUAGCAGGCAUUUGAGAUCUGAAUGGACAGAUCCACAGCCAAUGCCAUUGCCAUCUGCCUGUGCUGACUUUGGGUACUGCCUGCUGCCUGGGCUCCCCUGAUCUCACCCUCUCCAUUGGAUUGGGCUCCUCAGGUCACGCUAUUUCCUCAGCGGAGCCUGAAACUGCUGCCCCCGUUGAGUCACUGUACAUUUGGGACUGGGCCAGCUCUAGAGUGAGGUCAGUUUCCUUGACCCCUGCCUCUCUCCCUGUCUACACUGGCUGAAUUCCUGUUGUCCAAAGAUGCCUAUGACCAGAGCCUGCCCAAGUAAUAGCAGAGAACUGGGGACAUAUGGCCUUUGGAAGGGAAACUGUGAUGUGACCACACACUAUUCUUAUGGUAAGAGACGUGGCUGCACAGAAAGUUCACACCAAGAUCUUCUUUUUCUCGGUCGGGAGCAGAACAUGCAUAGAAACAGCAGUGAAAGCGAGGCUGGGAGAGAAAAUGGUUUCCUAAAGGUGACGAUAGAUCUGUGUUGGGCUGGAUUGCAGAAGGAUUCCUCAGGAACUGUUGCUCUGGCAGUUUUUAAAGACUGAAUUAAUUACAGGGAGAAAGAUACUGGGAUCCGUGUGAGGAGUCUCUGCCAUAAUGACAACUAGGCAACAAUGGAAUGGUCUCACUCCAGGAUGAAUAAGCUCGUGCUCACUGGAGGCAGUCAAGGAGAGGCUGGAUUGUUCUCAGGCAACAUGCUGUGCAAGACACUCACACAAAAGAUGGGGAGUUCACAGUUCAAGGGCAUUUUCUAUCCCUGAGAAUCUAUAAAUCUGUGUUUCCUGCCAUCUUUCUUUUUUAAUAUUUCAUAUUCAGGUAUUAUUUCCCCUACAGGAACUUAUGUCUUUUAAAACAGAAGAUAAACUUUUCUAGAGUGCUCAAAAAUCGUCACACACACUGCAAAAACUGGCUUUUUGGGAGCUCCACAGAGAAAACAUGCUUGAAGAAGUAGAGUGAGGGAUUUUCUGCAAAAAGUGACUGCAUUUCCCCUAGCCGAGGACGGGAAGAUUUUCACGGUCCCUCUCAGAUACCGUGGGGUUGACAAUGGGCAAUGGAGCCGGUUCACUAGGGGGAAGGGCGCAGCAAGUGUGUGGGGGGGUAUACUGCCCUCCUAGACAGCGUCCACAAUCAGUGCCGCAGAUCUUUGUUGACAUUCCAGGCCUACCCCGAACUGAGGUCUAGCUUCCUGGAGCCCUGCAUCUUCUGAAAGGCUGGCUCCUUUUCCUCUUCCCUCCAGAAGCCAUGGUGACCAGAGGCAUGGCUUAGCAGGAGCUAUGUUUCAGCAAAGGACAUGAGUCAGCAGAAGAUGUAAGUCAGCAGCACCCAUGGAUGAGCAGGAGCAAAGGGUCAGAAAGAACCGUGGAUCUCUAGAAACUAUGAGUCAGCACGAGCCAUGAGUCAGCAGAGGCCACAGGUCAAAAGGAGACAGGUUUCAGUAGGAGCUUUUGUUCAUCAGGAGCCAUGGGUCCGUAGGAACUACUGUCAGCAGGAACCGUACAUCAGCCAGAGACAGUCAGCAGUUGGUGGUGGGGUAGAGGAUAAUAGACACACAGGAAGAGGGCAGCACCAGACUUUGAGGUGGCUGAUGCCAUAAGCAAAAGCUACAGGGUACCAAGAAGCUCAGGAGAGAGCAUUUAGUAACAAUAGGAUCAAUAAAAUGUAGAGAGUCAGUCAGUCACCGUUAUGACGAGGUGGGGAGCAAUGUGUUUCAGAGGGGGGCAGCAUAGCCUACUGUCUGUAGGAGCAUGGAAUCCUGGAUGAGCUGAGCUUAAACAACAUUCUAGUCUCUGUGAGAACUGGCAGCUUGGCAAUUGAGGUUCUUGUCUUUCCUAAUUUCCCAGGUAUCCUUAGCAUAAACCCCUAUUACUAAGUAUGUCUUUAGGUUGGAUGCUAAAAAGGGAAAUUCUUGAGACAAAGUAUAAAGAGUUAUUUUUUUAAGGUUCUUAGUAUAUAUUGCUAAACGACUUUUCAAGGAUUUGUAUAAAUUUGCUUUCUCCCACCUUCUAAUUAAAAUACUUAUAAAAAUGUAUUCUGAAAGGUAUGAAAUUUUAAGGCAGGCUGAAAGCUGUUAGUAUAGUUAUCUAUCAGGAGAAAUUUCGAGUAUAAAAGGUUCAGGUAGAUGCUUGACGUAGAGCGAGAGGGCAAAGGAGACUGAUAUUUGCCAUUGUGACUGUGCCUCUCUACCAUGUGAGUCAGAACUCUGGAGUUUCAAGGGAAAGAAUCCAAUUCAAUUAAGACUGGCUUAAUUCAAUAAAAUAAUUUCUAAGGGCUUGUAGCUUGCACAUCUAGACAGUAGUGGGGUAGAUUUCAGGUGCAGCUGGAUCCAGGAGCUUGAAGAUGUCAGUCACGACAAACACAUCAACUCUUUAUGAUCUGCCCCAGCUCUGAUGGUUGAAAGCCCUGAUUGGCCAGGUCAGGCCCCUGUCAUGUGCCCACUCUUGGAGCCAGAUAGAUGUUGAGGGAAUUCCUGACCCCCAUGCCACUCCAAGCUACAUGACUUGGAAGAGAUGGUUUUUAAAUGGAGAUCAAAUAGGCGAAUCAAAACAGAUGACCACAGGCCCAUCUUACGGACAUGGGGUCUUCAGGACACCCUUCAACUGGGGAGAAGCUGCAUUUGAAAAUGUUCAGAAUGACUUGAACCUUCCCAUCAGUUAUUUCCAUUUCAUGCACCUUCUAGAAUCUAGGCUAUCAUUUUCAAUGUUACAAUGUUACAGGCUGGGGAAGGAGGGGAUGUACUUGCCUGUUACAUCCAAGAUGUGGAG